AUAAGAAAGAAGUGUUGAGAACUGCUCUUAACCCUUUUGGAGGCCGAAGUCAAAAGGAGAAAAGCAGGGAUACAGUAAGAGGAAUCAAAACAUUAUUAGACCUCUUUAAGAGCCACCAGCAUAUCUGGGCAUAAAUUAUACAGGGAAAUAGAGGGCUUGACGCAUUCUUUACAUCCUGCAUUUACUCUGACCACAGUCCCUCCCUGUUCUCACAAGCGGAGCUCAGCCCUGCUUCCCUUCCUGUUGAUUCCCAGUCAGCUACAUGACUGCCUGAAGUUACAUUGUAGAUGCUGAAAUCACUGCACCUUAAAAACAAAAAGAUUAAGCCACACUGCAUUCCUAAUGUUGGAAUUUUUGGACUGUGCAUCUGUUUAGGCACGUGGAGAAAGACAAGACUGAGAUCAUCAGUGGUUGGCAGUUUUCCUCAACUUCGCGAGAGAGAGAUUUGGUUGGAAUGAAACCUUGCUCUGCGUACAGCCUGCUUGAGAUGCAGCAUUGAAAGAUCACUCACAAUCAGUUUGUGGCCUUUCUCUGGAGGAACCUUUCCGUGUCUCUUGUGGCUAAAUCCAGCAGUGACCUAGAUGAUAGCAGAGAAUUACACAUUGGACAUCAGUGUGUGGGAAAG